UACGGAGGGAGCUAGCGUUGUUCGGAAAUACUGGGCGUAAAGCGCACGUAGGCGGCGCAGCAAGUCAGGGGUGAAAUCCCGGGGCUCAACCCCGGAACUGCCCUUGAAACUGCAGUGCUAGAAUCUUGGAGAGGCGAGUGGAAUUCCGAGUGUAGAGGUGAAAUUCGUAGAUAUUCGGAAGAACACCAGUGGCGAAGGCGACUUACUGGACACAUAUUGACGCUGAGGUGCGAAAGCGUGGGGAGCAAACAGGG
rnacentral:rRNA from 1 species